AGUGAACGCUGGCGGUAGGCCUAACACAUGCAAGUCGAACGGCAGCACAGUAAGAGCUUGCUCUUACGGGUGGCGAGUGGCGGACGGGUGAGGAAUACAUCGGAAUCUACUUUUUCGUGGGGGAUAACGUAGGGAAACUUACGCUAAUACCGCAUACGACCUACGGGUGAAAGCAGGGGAUCUUCGGACCUUGCGCGAUUGAAUGAGCCGAUGUCGGAUUAGCUAGUUGGCGGGGUAAAGGCCCACCAAGGCGACGAUCCGUAGCUGGUCUGAGAGGAUGGUCAGCCACACUGGAACUGAGACACGGUCCAGACUCCUAAGGGAGGCAGCAGUGGGGAAUAUUGGACAAUGGGCGCAAGCCUGAUCCAGCCAUACCGCGUGGGUGAAGAAGGCCUUCGGGUUGUAAAGCCCUUUUGUUGGGAGAGAAAAGCAGCAGGUUAAUACCCCGCUGUUCUGACGGUACCCAAAGAAUAAGCACCGGCUAACUUCGUG
rnacentral:rRNA from 1 species